ACUGACGGACACGGGAUUCAGUACUGGGAAGAGGUCAAGUUCACAGAUUCUCCUUAAACCAGAAAUCAUUAGGUUUAGAAGAAAUUACAGGGACAACAAAUGUCUUCGGAAUUCCAUACAAAAAUAAUGGCACACUUGUCACCAGUAAAUAUUCACAGUACAAGAAAGGAGGCAUCCGGGAAAGAAAAUGGUUUUGUUAGCCCUGUGUUAAAGGAUCACUCUAUGUACAAUAACAAAUUCUCAUCAUUAGUGUAGAUUUUACCCAUCUACUUAUAACUGUGACAAUUCACC